CCGCGUGAGUGAUGAAGGUUUUCGGAUCGUAAACUCUGUUGUUAGGGAAGAACAAGUAUCGGAGUAACUGCCGGUACCUUGACGGUACCUAACCAGAAAGCCACGGCUAACUACGUGCCAGCAGCCGCGGUAAUACGUAGGUGGCAAGCGUUGUCCGGAAUUAUUGGGCGUAAAGCGCGCGCAGGCGGUCCUUUAAGUCUGAUGUGAAAGCCCACGGCUCAACCGUGGAGGGUCAUUGGAAACUGGGGGACUUGAGUGCAGAAGAGGAGAGUGGAAUUCCACGUGUAGCGGUGAAAUGCGUAGAGAUGUGGAGGAACACCAGUGGCGAAGGCGACUCUCUGGUCUGUAACUGACGCUGAGGCGCGAAAGCGUGGGGAGCGAACAGGAUUAGAUACCCUGGUAGUCCACGCCGUAAACGAUGAGUGCUAAGUGUUAGAGGGUUUCCGCCCUUUAGUGCUGCAGCAAACGCAUUAAGCACUCCGCCUGGGGAGUACGGCCGCAAGGCUGAAACUCAAAGGAAUUGACGGGGGCCCGCACAAGCGGUGGAGCAUGUGGUUUAAUUCGAAGCAACGCGAAGAACCUUACCAGGUCUUGACAUCCUCUGACAACCCUAGAGAUAGGGCGUUCCCCUUCGGGGGACAGAGUGACAGGUGGUGCAUGGUUGUCGUCAGCUCGUGUCGUGAGAUGUUGGGUUAAGUCCCGCAACGAGCGCAACCCUUG
rnacentral:rRNA from 1 species